AAUGAACGCUGGCGGCGUGCCUAAUACAUGCAAGUCGAACGAACAGACGAAGAACUUUCUCCUUUUGCUGUAGCGUCGGACAGGGGAGUAACACGUGUAUGACCUACCUAUAAGACUGGGAUAAAUUCGUGAAACCGGAACUAAUACCGGAUAACAUGUGGAACCUCAUGGUUCAACAGUUUAAGACGGUCUUGCUUUCACUUAUAGAUGGACCCGCUCCGCAUUAGCUAGUUGGUCAGGUAACGGCUGACCAAGGCAACGAUGCGUAUCCGACCUGAGAGGGUGCUCGGCAACCAUGGACUUGAGACACGGCCCAGACCCCUACGGGAGGCAGAAGUAGGGAAUCUGCCGCAAUGGGCGAAAGCCUGACGGAGCAACGCGGCGUGAGUGAAGAAGGCUUCCGGAUCGUAAAAAUCUGCUACUAGGGAAGAACAAAUGUGUAAGUAACCAUGCACGUUUGGACUGUCCCUCAUAAGAAAGACCCGGUUAACCCCGU
rnacentral:rRNA from 1 species